AACGGUCUAUACCUGCGGUACCUGCGGAGGGAUCAUUAUCAAUUUACAGCGGACUUCGGUCCUGUCUGCACCCUUGUCUUUUGCGUACUAUAUGUUUCCUCGGUGGGCUUGCCUGCCGAUAGGACACUUAUAAACUCUUUUGUAAUUGCAAUCAGCGUCAGAAAACUAUAAUAGUUACAACUUUCAGCAACGGAUCUCU
rnacentral:misc_RNA from 1 species